UACGUAGGGGGCAAGCGUUGUCCGGAAUCAUUGGGCGUAAAGAGCGUGUAGGCGGCCAGAUAAGUCCGCUGUGAAAUCUCGAGGCUCAACUUCGAGCUGUCGGUGGAAACUGUCUGGCUAGAGUCCGGAAGAGGAGAAUGGGAUUCCUGGUGUAGCGGUGAAAUGCGUAGAUAUGCGGAGGAACACCAAUGGCGAAGGCAGCUCGCUGGGACGUGACUGACGCUGAGACGCGAAAGCGUGGGGAGCAAACAGG
rnacentral:rRNA from 1 species